CUAAGUUUGAUGGCGACCGGCGCACGGGUGAGUAACACGUAUCCAACCUGCCGAUGACUCGGGGAUAGCCUUUCGAAAGAAAGAUUAAUAUCCGAUGGCAUAGUUCUUCCGCAUGGUAGAACUAUUAAAGAAUUUCGGUCAUCGAUGGGGAUGCGUUCCAUUAGGUUGUUGGCGGGGUAACGGCCCACCAAGCCUUCGAUGGAUAGGGGUUCUGAGAGGAAGGUCCCCCACAUUGGAACUGAGACACGGUCCAAACUCCUACGGGAGGCAGCAUG
rnacentral:rRNA from 1 species